CAGGUAGUUGGUGAGGGUAACGGCCCACCAAGCCUUCGAUCAGUAACUGGUGUGAGAGCACGACCAGUCACACGGGCACUGAGACACGGGCCCGACUCCUACGGGAGGCAGCAGUAAGGAAUAUUGGUCAAUGGACGCAAGUCUGAACCAGCCAUGCCGCGUGGAGGAUGAAGGUCCUCUGGAUUGUAAACUUCUUUUAUCUGGGAAGAAACCCAUUUUUUCUAAAGUGGUUGACGGUACCAGAAGAAUAAGCACCGGCUAACUCCGUGCCAGCAGCCGCGGUAAUACGGAGGGUGCAAGCGUUAUCCGGAUUCACUGGGUUUAAAGGGUGCGUAGGUGGAGAGGUAAGUCAGUGGUGAAAUCUCCGGGCUUAACCCGGAAACUGCCAUUGAUACUAUCUUUCUUGAAUACCGUGGAGGUGAGCGGAAUAUGUCAUGUAGCGGUGAAAUGCUUAGAUAUGACAUAGAACACCAAUUGCGAAGGCAGCUCACUACACGAAUAUUGACACUGAGGCACGAAAGCGUGGGGAUCAAACAGGAUUAGAUACCCUGGUAGUCCACGCCCUAAACGAUGGAUACUCGACAUACGCGAUACACAGUGUGUGUCUGAGCGAAAGCAUUAAG
rnacentral:rRNA from 1 species